rnacentral:rRNA from 1 species
AACGAACGCUGGCGGCAUGCCUAACACAUGCAAGUCGAACGAGACCUUCGGGUCUAGUGGCGCACGGGUGCGUAACGCGUGGGAACCUGCCCUUAGGUUCGGAAUACCUCCCCGAAAGGGGUGCUAAUACCGGAUAAUUUCUUCUGACCAAAGAUUUAUCGCCCUUGGAUGGGCCCGCGUUGGAUUAGCUAGUUGGUAGGGUAAAAGCCUACCAAGGCGACGAUCCAUAGCUGGUCUGAGAGGAUGAUCAGCCACACUGGGACUGAGACACGGCCCAGACUCCUACGGGAGGCAGCAGUGGGGGAUAUUGGAAAAUGGGCGAAAGGCUGAACCAGUAAUGCCGGGUGAGUGAUGAAGGCCUUAGGGUUGUAAAGCUCUUUUACCCGGGAUGAUAAUGACAGUACCGGGAGAAUAAGCUCCGGCUAACUCCGUG